UACGAAGGGGGCUAGCGUUGCUCGGAAUCACUGGGCGUAAAGGGUGCGUAGGCGGGUCUUUAAGUCAGGGGUGAAAUCCUGGAGCUCAACUCCAGAACUGCCUUGAUACUGAAGAUCUUGAGUUCGGGAGAGGUGAGUGGAACUGCGAGUGUAGAGGUGAAAUUCGUAGAUAUUCGCAAGAACACCAGUGGCGAAGGCGGCUCACUGGCCCGAUACUGACGCUGAGGCACGAAAGCGUGGGAGCAAACAGGG
rnacentral:rRNA from 1 species